GAUGAACGCUGGCGGCGUGCUUAACACAUGCAAGUCGAACGGUAAGGCCCUGCUCUUGUGGGGUGCUCGAGUGGCGAAAGGGUUAGUAACACGUGCGUAACCUGCCCUUUACUUUGGGAUAACUUCAGGUAAUUGGGGCUAAUAUCGGAUAGGAGCUCCUGCUGCAUGGUGGGGGUUGGAAGGUUGCGGCGGAGGGAGAUGGACUUGCGGUAUAUCAGAUUGUUGGUGGGGUAGUGGAUAACCAAGGCUUUGACGGGUGGCCGGCCUGAGAGGGUGACCGGCAUCCUUAGGACUGAGAUACGGGCCAGACUCCUGCGGAAGGCAGCAGUGGGGUAUAUUGCACGAUGGAGGGAAGCCUGAUGCAGCAACGCCGCGUGCGGGAUUGCAGCCUUCGGUUUGUAGACCGCUUUCGCCUGUAACGAUGCGUGAGUGACGGUAAUGUGUAAAGAAGCACCGGCUAACUACGUG
rnacentral:rRNA from 1 species